AGGGUUCGAUCCUGGCUCAGGAUGAACGCCGGCGGUGUGCCUAAUACAUGCAAGUCGAGCGCACUGGCCCAACUGAUAUGACGUGCUUGCACUGAUUUGACGAUGGAUUACCAGUGAGCGGCGGACGGGUGAGUAACACGUGGGCAAUCUGCCCUGGAGCGGGGGAUAACAUUUGGAAACAGAUGCUAAUACCGCAUAAUAAUCAAAACCACAUGGUUUUGAUUUCAAAGAUGGUUUCGGCUAUCACUCUAGGAUGGGCCCGCGGUGCAUUAGCUAGUUGGUAAGGUAACGGCUUACCAAGGCCAUGAUGCAUAGCCGAGUUGAGAGACUGAUCGGCCACAAUGGAACUGAGACACGGUCCAU
rnacentral:rRNA from 1 species